AAAUAAUGGCAAAUAAAAUUUACAGUGCUGUUUGGCGGUCAUGGCAGGGCAUCGUUGAGGAAAGCUCACGUUCAAGGUUUUCGGCGAUACAGAAAAAAAAUCGCAUCGAUACGACGAGGAAAGAGGAGAAAGUUUCGUUGGAAUAAAUCUUGAGCAACGAUAAAUCUUGGAAGAAAGCUUCGAGAAAAGUUCAACGAUUUUUUUAAAAAAAAAUUUUCAUCCGACUCGUCCUAACGAUGAGAAUCGAAACGAUGCGACUGUCGUUAAUCUUGAUCUUAUUGCCCGCUGUCACAGGUUCGCUCAAGGACUUGGUGCGAAGCAUAUUUCAAUCAGGAAGGAUUGAUGUCGACAAAAAAGGAAUUACGUAUCCUGUAUUGUAUAGUGGCAUAAGAAAUCAGCCUCGUAUUCCUGAUUACAUCCCAUUUCCGUGUAAUGUAAAAUUUGGAAGAUCACCAACAACGCCUGACAACGUGCAUCGUUUAAGACCUGGCGACAUAGAUGUGAUCGGUAGUCUAGGCGAUUCAUUGGUCGCAGGAAGUGGAGCUCUCGAGGACUACGCAAUAGGAACGUUUAUAGAAGCACGUGGUGUUAGCUGGUGCAUAGGUGGUCAAGGUGACUGGAGACAAUUCUUAACUCUUCCUAAUUUGUUAAAGGUGUUCAAUCCCAAUUUAAUCGGAUAUUCAACGGGUACAGGUGAAUUUAUUUCAACGAAUGCGAAACUAAAUAUUGCCUUCCCCGUCGCGGCCACGGAGGAUGCAUUUCAACAAGCUCGAAUUCUCGUUCAAAGGAUCAAAAGCAAUCCAAAGAUAAAUGUGAAGAAGCAAUGGAAGCUAAUUACAAUUUUUUUUGGCGCAAAUGAUAUUUGCUCGGCACAAUGCUUCAAUCCUGAACACUUUUCGCCCCUUCGAUACGCUCAUCAUUUACGAAGAACGUUGGAUUACUUGAAAUUUGUUCUACCCCGUACAUUGGUCAAUGUUGUACCGGCUAUAGAUGUUACGGUUUCCGUUAGAAUACCACGAAGUCCCAUAUGUCGCAUAUUGCACACGUUUUACUGCGCUUGCUUGCACAAAGGUAAUCGACCAGACAUCGAAGCUUCGAAAAUGUCGCAUCUUUAUCAACAAGCAAUCGAAGCUUUAAUAUAUUCAGGAAGAUAUGACAAAUCUUCGGAUUUCACAGUGGUAUUGCAACCAUUCAGUAAAUUAUUUAAUGCACCAAACGCAGAUCCAAGGAGGGCUCAAUCAAUUGACCCCAGUCUGAUAACGUAUGACUGUUUUCAUUUUAGCCAAAAGGGACAUGCAUUAGGGGCGAAUUUAUUAUGGAACAACAUGCUGGAACCAGUCGGGAAUAAAACGGAACGAGGACUGCCACAGGUAUUCGAAAGAUUGUUAUGCCCGAGCGAGAAGGCUCCGUACAUUUUUACGAACGUGAACUCGAGACGUUUCCGAUUGACAGGGCGCCAAGAUGGGAUUAUGGCCAGAUAACGUGCGUAGAAACUACGAUAGCAAAAUUUUCACCUGUGAUAAUUACCAACACGUGUUCUCGAGGAACAAUUUCAACUCUCCAGAUUGAAAAUUUUCAAUGGAAAAUUUUAUGUUUUUUCAUGCACACAGACUUUAUAUCAAUAUAUAUAUAUAAAAAGCCGAUAUAUUGUGUACACUAUGGCUAUCUCUGUUGCACAUACAUUACCGAUCAAAGGUUUUGAAUCCAUCAAGCAAAUCGAAGAACUUGACAAAGAAAUUUAACGAAGAAUAU
rnacentral:misc_RNA from 1 species